rnacentral:misc_RNA from 1 species
CCAAAUCUAUGGCCGAAAGGCCUUGCCCUAGGUGGGGAAACCCACCGACGGUAAACCCUUUGUGAAAACCCUCCUGUUUGCCUCGGCGGCACCCUCUAACGAGUGUGGUCAGCCCGCCGACGGCACCUAACCAAAACUCUUUUUUUAGAAUUGAAGCUAGUCUGAAUCAAUGGUCGAAUGACUAUA